GCUUGCUCCUUGAUUCAGCGGCGGACGGGUGAGUAAUGCCUAGGAAUCUGCCUGGUAGUGGGGGACAACGUUUCGAAAGGAACGCUAAUACCGCAUACGUCCUACGGGAGAAAGCAGGGGACCUUCGGGCCUUGCGCUAUCAGAUGAGCCUAGGUCGGAUUAGCUAGUUGGUGGGGUAAUGGCUCACCAAGGCGACGAUCCGUAACUGGUCUGAGAGGAUGAUCAGUCACACUGGAACUGAGACACGGUCCAGACUCCUACGGGAGGCAGCAGUGGGGAAUAUUGGACAAUGGGCGAAAGCCUGAUCCAGCCAUGCCGCGUGUGUGAAGAAGGUCUUCGGAUUGUAAAGCACUUUAAGUUGGGAGGAAGGGCAGUAAGCUAAUACCUUGCUGUUUUGACGUUACCGACAGAAUAAGCACCGGCUAACUCUGUGCCAGCAGCCGCGGUAAUACAGAGGGUGCAAGCGUUAAUCGGAAUUACUGGGCGUAAAGCGCGCGUAGGUGGUUUGUUAAGUUGGAUGUGAAAGCCCCGGGCUCAACCUGGGAACUGCAUCCAAAACUGGCAAGCUAGAGUACGGUAGAGGGUGGUGGAAUUUCCUGU
rnacentral:rRNA from 1 species